rnacentral:rRNA from 1 species
AGCGAACGUUGGCGGCGUGGAUCAGACAUGCUAGUCGAACGAGAAAGCGGGGGCAACUCCGCGAGUAAAGUGGCGAAAGGGCGAGUAACACGUGAUCAACCUACCCUUGCGAUAGGGAUAACGACCCGAAAGGGUCGCUAACACCUAGUGUGGCCACACAGAGACAUCUCUGAGUGGAGAAACGGUUGGGAUCUUUGGACCUUCUGCGCGAGGAAGGGAUCACGUCCUAUUAGCUAGUGGUGAGGUAACGGCUCACCAAGGCUGUGAUGGGUAGCCGGCCUGAGAGGGUGGUCGGCCGCACUGGGACUGAGACACGGCCCAGACUCCUACGGGAGGCAGCAGUCGAGAAUCUUCUGCAAUAGGCGCAAGCCUGACAGAGCGACGCCGCGUGGAGGAUGAAGGCC